rnacentral:rRNA from 1 species
AUCUAAGUGAGAAACUAACCUCGAGAUGAGAUUUCCCAUUCGUCAGAAGUAAGACCCCUGAGAGACGAUCAGGUAGAUAGGCUAGAAGUGGAAGUGUAGUGAUGCAUGGAGCGGACUAGUACUAAUAGGUCGAGGACUUAACCAAG